GGUUACGGUCACACUGCUCUGAAUAUGCCUGAUCUCAGCUGCUAAGCCGAGUCGGGCCUGGUUAGUACUAGGAUGGGAGACCGCCUGGGAAUGAAUACCAGGUGCUGUAAGCU
rnacentral:rRNA from 1 species